AUUGAACGCUGGCGGCAUGCCUUACACAUGCAAGUCGAACGGCAGCGGGCCUUCGGGUGCCGACGAGUGGCGAACGGGUGAGUAAUGUAUCGGAACGUACCUUUCAGUGGGGGAUAACGUAGCGAAAGUUACGCUAAUACCGCAUAUUCUGUGAGCAGGAAAGCAGGGGAUCGCAAGACCUUGCGCUGAUUGAGCGGCCGAUAUCAGAUUAGCUAGUUGGUGAGGUAAAGGCUCACCAAGGCGACGAUCUGUAGCGGGUCUGAGAGGAUGAUCCGCCACACUGGAACUGAGACACGGUCCAGACUCCUACGGGAGGCAGCAGUGGGGAAUUUUGGACAAUGGGGGCAACCCUGAUCCAGCCAUGCCGCGUGAGUGAAGAAGGCCUUCGGGUUGUAAAGCUCUUUCGGCCGGGAAGAAAUCGUAUGGGUUAAUACCCUGUGCGGAUGACGGUACCGGCAUAAGAAGCACCGGCUAACUACGUGCCAGCCGCCGCAGUAACAC
rnacentral:rRNA from 1 species